rnacentral:rRNA from 1 species
UGAGGAAUCUUGCGCAAUGGGGGAAACCCUGACGCAGCAACGCCGCGUGAGUGAGGAAGGCCUUCGGGUCGUAAAGCACUUUUGGCAGGAAAGAAAUCGCGCAAAUUAAUACUUUGCGUGGAUGACGGUACCUUGAUAAGAAGCACCGGCUAACUACGUGCCAGCAGCCGCGGUAAUACGUAGGGUGCGAGCGUUAAUCGGAAUUACUGGGCGUAAAGCGUGCGCAGGCGGUUUUGUAAGUCAGAUGUGAAAUCCCCGAGCUCAACUUGGGAACUGCGUUUGAAACUACAAGACUAGAAUAUGUCAGAGGGGGGUAGAAUUCCACGUGUAGCAGUGAAAUGCGUAGAGAUGUGGAGGAAUACCAAUGGCGAAGGCAGCCCCCUGGGAUAAUAUUGACGCUCAUGCACGAAAGCGUGGGGAGCAAACAGG